UGGGGAAUAUUGCACAAUGGGCGCAAGCCUGAUGCAGCCAUGCCGCGUGUAUGAAGAAGGCCUUCGGGUUGUAAAGUACUUUCAGCGGGGAGGAAGGGAGUAAAGUUAAUACCUUUGCCCAUUGACGUUACCCGCAGAAGAAGCACCGGCUAACUCCGUGCCAGCAGCCGCGGUAAUACGGAGGGUGAAAGCGUUAAUCGGAAUUACUGGGCGUAAGGCGCACGCAGGCGGUUUGUUAAGUCAGAUGUGAAAUCCCCGGGCUCAACCUGGGAACUGCAGCUGAUACUGGCAAGCUAGAGUCUCGUAGAGGGGGGUAGAAUUCCAGGUGUAGCGGUGAAAUGCGUAGAGGACUGGGGGAAUACCGGUGGCGAAGGCGGCCCCCUGGACGAAGACUGACGCUCAGGUGCGAAAGCGUGGGGAGCAAACAGG
rnacentral:rRNA from 1 species